rnacentral:rRNA from 1 species
CCUACGGGAGGCAGCAGUAGGGAAUCUUCCGCAAUGGACGAAAGUCUGACGGAGCAACGCCGCGUGAACGAUGAAGGCCUUCGGGUCGUAAAGUUCUGUUGUUAGGGAAGAACAAGUGCUAGUUGAAUAAGCUGGCACCUUGACGGUACCUAACCAGAAAGCCACGGCUAACUACGUGCCAGCAGCCGCGGUAAUACGUAGGUGGCAAGCGUUGUCCGGAAUUAUUGGGCGUAAAGCGCGCGCAGGCGGUUUCUUAAGUCUGAUGUGAAAGCCCCCGGCUCAACCGGGGAGGGUCAUUGGAAACUGGGAAACUUGAGUGCAGAAGAGGAAAGUGGAAUUCCAAGUGUAGCGGUGAAAUGCGUAGAGAUUUGGAGGAACACCAGUGGCGAAGGCGACUUUCUGGUCUGUAACUGACGCUGAGGCGCGAAAGCGUGGGGAGCAAACAGGAUUAGAUACCCUGGUAGUCCACGCUGUAAACGAUGAGUGCUAAGUGUUAGAGGGUUUCCGCCCUUUAGUGCUGAAGUUAACGCAUUAAGCACUCCGCCUGGGGGAGGUACGGUCGCAGACAGAACUACAAAUAGAAGUUAGUACGGCGUGAGACGUCGCCGACGGACGACCGACGAGGGAGGUUAGG